GGUGGUGCAUGGCCGUCGUCAGUUCGUACUGUGAAGCAUCCUGUUAAGUCAGGCAACGAGCGAGACCCAGCCCACAGUUGCCAGCGUACUCUCUGGAGUGACGGGUACACUGUGGGGACCGCCGCUGCUAAAGCGGAGGAAGGAAUGGGCAACGGUAGGUCAGUAUGCCCCGAAUAUCCCGGGCUACACGCGAGCUACAAUGGUUGGUACAAUGGGUAUCUACCCCGAAAGGGGACGGGAAUCUCCUAAAACCAAUCUUAGUUCGGAUUGAGGGCUGCAACUCGCCCUCAUGAAGCUGGAAUCCGUAGUAAUCGCGUUUCAACAGAACGCGGUGAAUACGUCCCUGCUCCUU
rnacentral:rRNA from 1 species